UAUGAGUGUCUUUUCGAAUUU
rnacentral:siRNA from 1 species